ACGCACGCUGGCGGCGUGCUUAACCCAUGCCAGUCGAACGGAAAGGCCCUGCUUUUGUGGGGUGCUCGAGUGGCGAACGGGUGAGUAACACGUGAGUAACCUGCCCUUGACUUUGGGAUAACUUCAGGAAACUGGGGCUAAUACCGGAUAGGAGCUCCUGCUGCAUGGUGGGGGUUGGAAAGUUUCGGCGGUUGGGGGUGGACUCGCGGCUUAUCAGCUUGUUGGUGGGGUAGUGGCUUACCAAGGCUUUGACGGGUAGCCGGCCUGAGAGGGUGACCGGCCACAUUGGGACUGAGAUACGGCCCAGACUCCUACGGGAGGCAGCAGUGGGGAAUAUUGCACAAUGGGCGGAAGCCUGAUGCAGCAACGCCGCGUGCGGGAUGACGGCCUUCGGGUUGUAAACCGCUUUCGCCUGUGACGAAGCGUGAGUGACGGUAAUGGGUAAAGAAGCACCGGCUAACUACGUG
rnacentral:rRNA from 1 species